AAUAAAUCCGAGCAUAUUGGAAAUUAUUUUUAUAUAAGUAUAAAUGAAUAAAACAAUACAGGUAAAAGACCAAUACGGUUGAAUUGUCAGGCCAUAUUACAUACAAAACAUCCAGCCACCGUAUAUAUUGCUUGUAAAAGAUGCACCUGACCUAAGGAUAUAGAAAGUCGGAAAGUAAAAGGAUGGACAGUGAUGUACUGGGAAAAUACUAACCACGAAAACAAGUUGGUGUGGCUAUAUUUAUAUCAGACCAAAUAAAUUUUAAGGCAAAAGGAAUGACCAACAUUUCAUUUUAGCAGGAAGACAGAACUACGAGGAGAAGUAGACAAGUUCACCAUCACGGAGGAGCAGUCUUUGGGCUUGAACAGAAGACUCUCAGCUUCACCCCUGCAAAUGAGAAUUUGGUCAGGCCUGAGGGAUGGGCAUGUUGAGCCCGAGGCACUUGCGUAACUGUGGAGUGAAAGGACAAGAGCUGGGGGUGCCCAUAAGAGCUUGCCAGCUGCCGACACAAGCGACAAGGAGGUCAGAACCUGCACUUUUUGUCUUCCCUUUUAUCUCCGUUCUGUCACCCAAGCCAGCAGUGUUGGGACGUCCUUGGUGCUCAGGUCCCAGGGUCACCGGGGUAGAAAGGGGAGUGCAGACCAAACUGUUUGAGAGAACCAGCAGGCUCCGUGGACCUCACACACAGCCACGUCACGGAGGCGGGCCACGCAGCAUCCCUACUUUCCUUCAGUGAAGCGUUGCCCAGGCUGCUCACGGCUGAUUGGCACGUGGGCUUCCUCCACGUGCCUCACCUUUCACAUCACCACACCCCCAGUCGUCAGACGCCCUGAGCCCUUGCUCCGUGCAGACCCUGCUCUAGACGCUGCGGACACGGGCGAAUGGGACAGACAGUAAUCAGGGAAACCAUCCAGGGAAUUUCAAGUGAAGGAAGGAAGCAGAAAGGGAAAUCAAGAGGGAGGCUGGUGUGGGGCUUUUGGGGGAGAGAGCUGUCAGGAAAGGCCUGGGCUAAGCAGGGAUGUUCACACGGAGGAGAGGAGCCAGCCAUGGGUAGAGCGUUGCAGGUAGAGGGGACAGCAAGCACCAGAGCCCUGCAGCGGGAACAGACUUGCUGUGUCAGAGGAACCGAAAGGAGGCCAGGGUGGCUGGGUGCAGAAGCCAGGUCAGGCCGCUCAGCCUGUGGGCGGCGGUGAGAGGGCCCAGGAGGGAGUUAGAGAGUGCUGACUGUCAUCUGGAGUUGUUCGACCUCAGAGGACAGACAGCUGUCACAUCUGCAUCCGUUGAUCUUAUCUCCCUCUCUUGCUCUUUGGUGUGUCCCGAUAAGCUGCCCUAGCCAGGCAGAAGCUGACAGCCCCCUUCUUGUUCCUCCUAACACACAUCACUGUGUCUUCAUCACUGUCCUCUUCAGCAUCAGCACCAACAGAUUGGGGAAAGGCCAGAGAGGGGGGCGCUGAACAUGAAGUCUCUGGGAAACAUUUUAAGAGGCUAAGGAACAGUGGUGUCCAGUCACACGCUCAGUGGCAUGCGCCACCAGGGGAAGGGGAGGGAAGGGAAGGGAGGGACAUGGGCCCAUCCAGGGAGCAGGGUUCAAGGUAGUCACUGCCGUACUUGCUCUUGAGCCAGCCCCCUGGACAGCUCAGCCCACUGCCGUUCAGCUGCACCCCUUGGAGCCACAGUCGAAGAUGGAGAAACCUCCAUCUGUUAGGAAAUUAAGGUUUUCCGGCCGCCACCCCCUCCGCCGGCUGCUGCCUCUGCGUGCCCUGGCUUCCCACGUCUCGGGAGUGGGGCCCCAGGGUACACAGGUUUGCCACCCCAUCCUUCCAGUGACUCAGACCAAAACCCCGAGACAGAGCUGUGAUUCUUCUCUUCCUCUGCCAUUUAUUCUGUGAGCAGACGUCUUCCGCUGUCUCUUCACAAUAUAUCCCCAGUCUCACCACUGACCACACCCUCCGCUGCCACCCUGGUUCAUGCUGUCAUCCCCAUCGCUCGCCUGUGUCCCUGAACGAUCUCCUCCUGUCUGAUCCCCCUGCCACUCCUGUUGCCCCUUCAGUCUGUUCUCCACACGGCGACCAGAAUGGUCCUGUUAGAACCUAAGUAGUCACAUCCCUCCUCUACUCAAAACCCCGUGACCUCCCCAUCUCUUGUCGAUGCCACAGUCCUUACCGUGGCCUGCAGGCUCUACUGUGUUGGCUUCCUGUCCCUGUCACUCUCUGACCUCAUCUCCUGCUCCUCUCUCUCCCCUCGUUACUUGGGACACUUCUCUGGAGGGUGCGAUUUGCUGAUGCCUUUCAGAAUGAAAAACCCCAUACCAUCUGGUCCAACACGCUGACAUCUAUGAGUUUAUUAAAUGGAUGUACUUUCCCGUGUGCAUGAAGCACAUCCUCACAGUGUUCUUUGUCUGUUUGUUCUGUGAUAAUAAAAGACUGGGAACAACUUG